AAAUGGCGUGUUAUCUGUACACAUUUUGAGCUAUCCACGUGUAUGUCUACGCUGUAUACAGCGGAUGUUGCCACGUGCCGUGUUAUCGCAAGAACGUGCCAUGCUAUCGCGGGAACAGCGUCACGUGUGUAAAAAAAAAAAGGUUGGGUUUAGGAAAAGAACAUUGGGGAAGGCUUUAUUUAAAAAAAAAAAAAAAAAAAAAAGGUUGAUAAACGCCACACACAGGACACGAUCCUGGCUCUCCUGGGUGAAAGUCCUGUGUUUUAUCCAUCCACCACCCCAACUAACCUCUGUCCUUUCAUACUAUUCGCUAUGGCGAUAAUUCACAUGUAAUGUAGGUCAAUGGAGGCCAAACGGCGUUGAUAAACACGCUAAAAAACGAUUACGCGUCUUGAUAACAUGCAAAAACGGCAUACGAAUUGGUGUGUCAUACAUACGCCACUUUGUGAGAUCAGUCUGCAAUUCAGAGUGU